rnacentral:rRNA from 1 species
UCGGAGGGAAGGCAGUGGAAUGAGCGGCGGACGGGUGAGUAACACGUAAGGAACCUGCCUCAAGGAUUGGGAUAACUCCGAGAAAUCGGAGCUAAUACCGGAUAGUUCAUCGGACCGCAUGGUCCGUUGAUGAAAGGCGCUCCGGCGUCACCUUGAGAUGGCCUUGCGGUGCAUUAGCUAGUUGGUGGGGUAACGGCCCACCAAGGCGACGAUGCAUAGCCGACCUGAGAGGGUGAUCGGCCACACUGGGACUGAGACACGGCCCAGACUCCUACGGGAGGCAGCAGUAGGGAAUCUUCCACAAUGGACGAAAGUCUGAUGGAGCAACGCCGCGUGAGUGAUGAAGGUUUUCGGAUCGUAAAACUCUGUUGUAAGGGAAGAACACGUACGAGAGGAAAUGCUCGUACCUUGACGGUACCUUACGAGAAAGCCACGGCUAACUACGUGCCAGCAGCCGCGGUAAUACGUAGGUGGCAAGCGUUGUCCGGAAUUAUUGGGCGUAAAGCGCGCGCAGGCGGCCUUUUAAGUCUGAUGUGAAAGCCCCCGGCUCAACCGGGGAGGGCCAUUGGAAACUGGAAGGCUUGAGUACAGAAGAGAAGAGUGGAAUUCCACGUGUAGCGGUGAAAUGCGUAGAGAUGUGGAGGAACACCAGUGGCGAAGGCG